UGCAGGCUGCAACUCGCCUGCAUGAAGCUGGAAUUGCUAGUAAUCGCGAAUCAGAAUGUCGCGGUGAAUACGUUCCCGGGUCUUGUACACACCGCCCGUCACACCAUGGGAGUCGGAUAUGCCCGAAGUCAGUGACCCAACCAUAUGGAGGGAGCUGCCGAAGGUGGAGCCGAUAACUGGGGUGAAGUCGUAACAAGGUAAC
rnacentral:rRNA from 1 species